GCUACUACCCGCGCGCGGUCGCCGCCUCCCCAGGUGCAGCCCCGCCAGUCCCAGCCCCCGGCUGCGCCGGGCGAGCGGCAUCAUCAGAUUUAGGGUGACCCGGAGCGACCUCGGUCCAGGCUCGGAGGGAGAGGCGCCUCUCAGGACCUGGCAGGUUGAUUCUUCACAUGGAUCAGAAGCAACCAGCAAUGAACUCCUGAAAUCUUUGUUUACUGCCUUUGAGGAACCUUUGUACCCUUGCCGUUUCUCCAUGAGGUGUGUCCCCAGAUCACUUUCUGGAUGGCAGGCAAUGGCCGCUAGAAGUUUAGUUUGUGUUUCAUGGAAUGGAAGAAAAGAUGAGGAAUGCCUCUGGUUUAGAGAAGGAGCCACAUUAUAACAGAAGAGAACAAUGACACACAAAAAUCAGGAGUACUUCCUUCAGAAGAAAGGCAGCUGGAGCCUUUGAAAUUGACAUAGUUUUAGUCAAAAAGAAGAAAAGAAAGAUCUCCAAAAUAUACAAUUCCAUACAUGCAAGAGAAGUGAAGACAUGUGAUGAUAUUUUUCCAGCUGAAGGCCUUAGCCAAACCAAAGUCAUUUUAAUUUUUCAUAGGCUUUUACAUUUUUGAUGACAACAUCUUGGUUGAGGAAUCACAAAUGUCUGAAAAAGAAGUCGCAAGGAUGGUUGCACUGUGAAAAUCUUUGAAAAAGUCAGUAUGUUUUGA
rnacentral:lncRNA from 1 species